rnacentral:rRNA from 1 species
GAUGAACGCUGGCGGCGUGCCUAAUACAUGCAAGUCGAGCGAACGGACGAGAGGCUUGCUUCUCUGAUGUUAGCGGCGGACGGGUGAGUAACACGUGGAUAACCUACCUAUAAGACUGGGAUAACUUCGGGAAACCGGAGCUAAUACCGGAUAAUAUUUUGAACCGCAUGGUUCAAAAGUAAAAGACGGUCUUGCUGUCACUUAUAGAUGGAUCCGCGCUGCAUUAGCUAGUUGGUAAGGUAACGGCUUACCAAGGCAACGAUGCAUAGCCGACCUGAGAGGGUGAUCGGCCACACUGGAACUGAGACACGGUCCAGACUCCUACGGGAGGCAGCAGUAGGGAAUCUUCCGCAAUGGGCGAAAGCCUGACGGAGCAACGCCGCGUGAGUGAUGAAGGUCUUCGGAUCGUAAAACUCUGUUAUUAGGGAAGAACAUAUGUGUAAGUAACUGUGCACAUCUUGACGGUACCUAAGCAGAAAGCCACGGCUAACUACGU